GACGAACGCUGGCGGCGUGCUUAACACAUGCAAGUCGAGCGGAAAGGCCCUUCGGGGUACUCGAGCGGCGAACGGGUGAGUAACACGUGAGUAACCUGCCCUUGGCUCUGGGAUAGCUCCGGGAAACCGGAAUUAAUACCGGAUAUGACCUCGGCCGACAUCGGCUGUGGUGGAAAGAUUUAUCGGCCAGGGAUGGGCUCGCGGCCUAUCAGCUAGUUGGUGGGGUAACGGCCUACCAAGGCGACGACGGGUAGCCGGCCUGAGAGGGCGACCGGCCACACUGGGACUGAGACACGGCCCAGACUCCUACGGGAGGCAGCAGUGGGGAAUAUUGGACAAUGGGCGCAAGCCUGAUCCAGCCAUGCCGCGUGAGUGAUGAA
rnacentral:rRNA from 1 species